AGAGUUUGAUCCUGGCUCAGGAUGAACGCUGGCGGCAUGCCUAACACAUGCAAGUCGAACGGGGUUUAUAUGACAGAACUCUCCGGAGGGAAGAUAUAUAAACCUAGUGGCGGACGGGUGAGUAACGCGUGGGCAACCUGCCCUGUACCGGGGGACAACAGCCAGAAAUGGCUGCUAAUACCGCAUAAGCCUGCUGUGCCGCAUGGCACAGCAGGGAAAACCACGGUGGUACAGGAUGGGCCCGCGUCUGAUUAGUUAGUUGGCAGGGUAACGGCCUACCAAGACAACGAUCAGUAGCCGGCUUGAGAGAGUGGACGGCCACAUUGGGACUGAGACACGGCCCAGACUCCUGCGGGAGGCAGCAGUGGGGAAUAUUGCACAAUGGGGGGAACCCUGAUGCAGCAAUGCCGCGUGGGUGAAGAAGCACUCCGGUGUGUAAAGCCCUGUCAGCAGGGAAGAAAAUGGCAGUACCUGGACAAGAAGCCCCGGCUAACUACGUGCCAGCAGCCGCGGUAAUACGUANGGGGCAAGCGUUAUCCGGAUUUACUGGGUGUAAAGGGAGCGCAAGCGGCGUGGCAAGUCAGAUGUGAAAACCCGGGGCCCAACCCCGGGAGUGCAUUUGAAACUGCCAUGCUG
rnacentral:rRNA from 1 species